ACAAUGAUACUUCUGUCUAGUCACAGCACCGAGUGAAAUCGGAAUCAGGCAAUGAGGGCAGCUUCGAGAGAACCUCGGAGGGAUGAGAAUUCCAUGA
rnacentral:ncRNA from 1 species